CCUACGUGUGGCAGCAGUGGGGGAUAUUGCACAAUGGGGGGAACCCUGAUGCAGCGACGCCGCGUGGGUGAAGAAGCGUUUCGGCGCGUAAAGCCCUGUCAGCAGGGAAGAAAAUGACGGUACCUGACGAAGAAGCCCCGGCUAACUACGUGCCAGCAGCCGCGGUAAUACGUAGGGGGCAAGCGUUAUCCGGAUUUCCUGGGUGUAAAGGGGGCGAAGACGGCCAGGCAAGCCAGAAGUGAAAGCCCGGGGCUCAACCCCGGGACUGCUCUUGAAACUGCGUGGCUGGAGUGCAGGAGGGGCAAGCGGAAUUCCUAGUGUAGCGGUGAAAUGCGUAGAUAUCAGGAGGAACACCAGUGGCGAAGGCGGCCUACUGGACUGCAACUGACGUUGAGGCCCGAAAGCGUGGGGAGCAAACAGGAUUAGAUACCCCGGUAGUC
rnacentral:rRNA from 1 species